AUGUCUCUUGGCUGCCUCCAUGUCUCACUGUGGUUUUAUAUCCCCUGGCUUUUUGGCAGAAACAAAACUUUUAGAUUUGUCCUCAACUGAAAAUGUUUCAGCUGUGUGUGCAGGCGUCUUCAUGCUAUAGAAGAAGGAAUGGAACUGUGAAUGGUGGGAAAGGCUGAAGGAAGUAAUGGAGACCACGAUGCAGAAGUAGGUGCUCUUGCAAAGCAGUCCCGGGACAGAUAAAGGAAGCAAAGGCAGAGAACCCCAACGCCUUGUAACCCCAGCUCAGCCACUAGUUGGCUGUGUGAUCUCAGACAAGCCAAGCUCCAUCUCUGAGAUAUAGCUGCUUCAUUUGCAAAGUAAGAAGGUAGACGUGCAUGAUCAGCUGAAGAUGCUUCCUGCCUCAAUCCAGGACACCUGCGGCUCCAGGUCAGAGAUGCACCUGCUAGUCCUGCCUCUACAGGACCCAACCCAUCAGUUCCUAGCUUGUCCUUCUGGUGAGAAUUGAGCACACUAUACUGUGGACAUAAAGACAAAAACCAGCAAGAAACUGAGCUCGGCUCCCUGGCUCACAUAGACAUGGAACAGAGAUCACAUCUGUGAGUGGAGGAGCCAGACUUUUCAUAUAAGCACAUGUAAAACUUUUGAAGUUGGCUGAUCCAAGAAUAGAUUCAAAUUCUUCAGCCAAGAGUCUAGACCAACUGACUUUUUCCACUUCAUUGCCUAGUUGACCCUUUGGGCCCGGAGCUCACGCACGCAGUUGAAGAUGUCCACCACCCCUUCAUUCUCGGCCAUGUCAAGCAUGGUGUCAAUGGCAAUGAAGCAGCCAGUCCGCCCAGCCCCAGCACUGGAAGAGAGCAAAUGGGUUGACGGAUGGAAGCAAAGAAGGAGAGGAGAGAGAACAGAGGGGAGAUGAAUGACAGGACAGAAACGAGAGUCCUCUGAGCUGUCCCCAAGACAGAGAGUGGUUGGUGGAGCACCACGUUCAAAGGCCGGCAUCUGGCUCCACCUGCAGCUGUUUUCGCAGGAUCGUGAAGCAAGAGUGUCAUGAAACUGGAGCAGCUGACCGUCCGGAGACCCUUGUCAGGGAUCAAGUUUCUUGAUACAUACUUACUUGAUUUCUGGUCACUAGUGGCUUCUUUAGGAGAAUCUCAGACCAAGUAUAAAAUGGUAGGGGAACUCAACGAGACUCUAUGGGCCUUGGCCAGCCCUUUCUAGAUCAGUGCUGGGCUCUGAAACAUCAGUGCUGACCAAGAGGCACGUAAGACAUGUGCCUUACACAUGUGCAGUUUUGGAUGGGAAGGCCGGGCAGCCUGUCAAGGAGGCCCCCUUCCGCUGCGUUUUCACAUCUUGCCUUUCUCAUGGAAACAAGUGUCUUUGUCUAACAAUGUAGAUGUCAAAAGACACACAAAGAGGAAGAGAGAUGGAACAAGACAAAAAAGCAAUAUUGGCUCAUGGUAAAUCCAAGGGGCACAGGCCAGUGCGGACCACUACCUACAACAAUUUGGAAAGUACACCCAUUGGAAGCAGAGUCUUCAUUCAUGAGAAACUUUCAUGGUUUGAAUGAAGUCUGACUUAAGUUUGCUUCAGAACCUACUCCCCAAAAUCCAGAUGCGGGGACUCAAGAGACUUGGCCUCUGUGUCUGGGAGGGAGUAUAGGGGGGGUCACUCGUGUUUUUUUCUUCAAUGUUCAUAUUCACCAUGCUUUAGUAUAAAGAAUCAGCCCAAUUUGGUUCCAAAUUUUGGAACAACUAUCAAUCAAUCAGCGGUGACCAAGUUGCCUAGUGUCCGUUUGUUUGUUAGCUUCAGAUUUCUGAUGCUUUUAACAUACCUCCCUGCAGGGUCCUUGUGAGGACAAAGCUGUGUUUAUUUCAUUUCAGCAUCACAUAGUAAUUGAACACAGGAUAUUUGAAAAGACCCCCUAGGAUUAAAUCCUGGCUCUAUUACUUAUUAGCUGCAUGACCUCGGGCAAAUGACUUAACCUCUCUGGGUUUCAAUACUCAUCUAUAAAAUGAUGUUGAUAAUAAUUAAAAUACUCACUCAUCUAUAAAAUGAUGUUGAUAAUAAUUAAUAGAUCCACCUCACAGCAUUAAUAGCACAAUAUGUAUAAAUUGGAUGAAA
rnacentral:lncRNA from 1 species